AUUGAACGCUGGCGGCAUGCCUUACACAUGCAAGUCGAACGGCAGCAUGGAGAGCUUGCUCUCUGAUGGCGAGUGGCGAACGGGUGAGUAAUGCAUCGGAACGUACCGUGUAAUGGGGGAUAACGUAGCGAAAGUUACGCUAAUACCGCAUACGACCUGAGGGUGAAAGCAGGGGAUCGCAAGACCUUGCGUUAUACGAGCGGCCGAUGUCAGAUUAGCUAGUUGGUGGGGUAAAGGCUCACCAAGGCGACGAUCUGUAGCGGGUCUGAGAGGGUGAUCCGCCACACGGGGACUGAGACACGGCCCAGACUCCUACGGGAGUCAGCAGUGGGGAAUUUUGGACAAUGGGGGCAACCCUGAUCCAGCCAUGCCGCGUGAGUGAAGAAGGCCUUCGGGUUGUAAAGCUCUUUCGGCCGGGAAGAAAUCGCACAGGCUAAUACUCUGUGUGGAUGACGGUACCGGCAUAAGAAGCACCGGCUAACUACGUGCCAGCCGCCGCAGUAA
rnacentral:rRNA from 1 species